UUAAUUUGCUGAUUAAUUGUUCGGGUUUUAAUAAACCCCUAGUUCUCACAUACACCCUAUUUCUCAUUUCUCAAAAUUAGGGUUGACUUUCGUAUGUAUGAGAUUGGACACCCUUCUGAUUUUUUGGCAAACUAAAAAUUAUAGCUUUCUAAAGAAAAUUAUGGCUUUCUGAUUUUACAAUUUCAAAUGAUUCAGAAAACUUUGGAUUUAGAUGAAUAAUUAAAAUUGAAGUAAUAAGACACAAAUUACUGUCAAAGUAGAUCCCUUUGAUUCAUUUAAGCUGGUAUUAAAGGUGAAAAUUUUCUCAUUUAAGCUUGCAGUUCCUCCUUGGUGUGUGUUGUGCAUAAAGGAGAGAAAGUAUGUGGACCAUAUACUUUUUGCAUUACAGAUCCUCUUGAAGGAUCUGGAUGCACCUAUUGGAAGUGUUUGGCCUUCUCCGGAUGUUUUCUAGAAGCGAUUUUCAGUGAGUAUGAAUGCUUUUGUUGUAUGCUAUGUGCUGAUGAAGGCACUUGCUUAGCAGGUUUAGAAAAUUAGGGGAUGCACCUAUUGGAAGUGUUUGGCCUUCUCCGGAUGUUUUCUAGAAGCGAUUUUCAGUGAGUAUGAAUGCUUUUGUUGUAUGCUAUGUGCUGAUGAAGGCACUUGCUUAGCAGGUUUAGAAAAUUAGGGGAAACAAUAGCGUCAACUUUCCCGCCAGUUUGGGACACUCCAUGUGUAUGGUGUUGAGGGUAGGUAUGUAUUGUUUUAGUUUCUGUCAUGUAUUGUAUUGGCUCUCUUGUGGUGUAUUUGGUUAAAAGGGUACAAAAUUUGUUGAGGACGAGGAGGAAAUGGAGUUAAUCUGAUGUAAGAUUAUUGUAACCUUUUGUUUAUAGUUGCAAAUAAAUUGUGUUCUACUUGGUAUAGGAAAGCUAUUGAUAUGUUUUUGUUUGU
rnacentral:lncRNA from 1 species